rnacentral:telomerase_RNA from 1 species
UUCCGAUCUCUUUGAUCUGGGAGGGUGAAAUUGUUCGCCCUCCCGGUCAUCUAACCCUAGCUUUUAUACCAUGCCCUUCAGUGCACUUCGUCUGUCGUUUUCUCAGGCCUGCUUUCGACAGACAUGAACGGGAAGUACCCAAAAAUAAAAAGCAGGCCCUGCGAGAUAUGGAAUAUGUCGGGCCACCACGUCAGUACAUCGACCAGUGACGGUCAGUGUACAGGGUGGCUCAACAACUC